CCUCAGGUUUUAUUAUCUGUUGGGCUUGGAUUUGGGUGUCUGCCGCGACCUGCAAAGGACGUCGGCUCGCCUUAAAUGUGUUAGUGAGAAGUUGACAACCUGUCAGCCUGGCGUAAUAAGUUUCGCUGGGUCUCUGGGGUAGUCUUCGGCUUGCUCAUAACAACCAUCUUAUAAUCUUGACCUCAAAUCAGGUAGGGCUACCCGCUGAACUUAAGCAUAUCAAUAAGCGGAGGAAAAGAAACUAACAAGGAUUCCCCUAGUAACGGCGAGUGAACCGGGAAGAGCUCAAAUUUGAAAUCUGGCGUCCUCAGGGCGUCCGAGUUGUAAUCUAUAGAAACGUUUUCCGUGCUGGACCGUGUCCAAGUCCCUUGGAACAGGGUAUCAAAGAGGGUGACAAUCCCGUACUUGACACGACCACCAGUGCUCUGUGAUACGUUUUCUACGAGUCGAGUUGUUUGGGAAUGCAGCUCUAAAUGGGUGGUAUACUCCAUCUAAAGCUAAAUAUUGGUGGAAGACCGAUAGCGAACAAGUACCGUGAGGGAAAGAUGAAAAGCACUUUGGAAAGAGAGUUAAACAGUAUGUGAAAUUGUUGAAAGGGAAACGAUUGAAGUCAGUCGUGUCUAUUGAGUUCAGCCAGUUCUGCUGGUGUAUUCUCUUUAGACGGGUCAACAUCAGUUCUGAUCGGUGGAUAAAGGCAGGAGGAACGUAGCUCUCUUCGGGGAGUGUUAUAGCCUCUUGUCGCAUACACUGGUUGGGACUGAGGAAUGCAGCUCGCCUUUAUGGCCGGGGU
rnacentral:rRNA from 1 species